CGUGCAGGCGGCCUGGUAAGUCGGGCGUGAAAUCUCUCGGCUCAACCGGGAGGGGUCGUCCGAAACUACUAGGCUUGAGGGCAGUAGAGGGAGGUGGAAUUCCCGGUGUAGUGGUGAAAUGCGUAGAGAUCGGGAGGAACACCAGUGGCGAAGGCGGCCCCCUAGGCUGUCCCUGGCGCUCAGACGCGAAAGCUAGGGGAGCGAACGGGAUUAGAAACCCCGGUAGUCCUAGCUGUAAACGAUGCAGACUAGGUGUUGGCAGCUUAAACCCUGCCAGUGCCGUAGCCAACGCGUGAAGUCUGCCACCUGGGGACUACGGCCGCAAGGCUAAA
rnacentral:rRNA from 1 species